GACGAACGCUGGCGGCGUGCUUAACACAUGCAAGUCGAACGGAAAGGCCCUGCUUUUGUGGGGUGCUCGAGUGGCGAACGGGUGAGUAACACGUGAGUAACCUGCCCUUGACUUUGGGAUAACUUCAGGAAACUGGGGCUAAUACCGGAUAGGAGCUCCUGCUGCAUGGUGGGGGUUGGAAAGUUUCGGCGGUUGGGGAUGGACUCGCGGCUUGUCAGCUUGUUGGUGGGGUAGUGGCUUACCAAGGCUUUGACGGGUAGCCGGCCUGAGAGGGUGACCGGCCACAUUGGGACUGAGAUACGGCCCAGACUCCUACGGGAGGCAGAAGUGGGGAAUAUUGCACAAUGGGCGGAAGCCUGAUGCAGCAACGCCGCGUGCGGGAUGACGGCCUUCGGGUUGUAAACCACUUUCGCCUGUGACGAAGCGUGAGUGACGGUAAUGGGUAAAGAAGCACCAGCUAACUACGUG
rnacentral:rRNA from 1 species